rnacentral:tRNA from 1 species
UUUCAUAUAGUUUAUUAAAACAUUUUAUUUUCAUUAAAAAGAAAACUUUUCAAAGUUUAUGAACG